rnacentral:lncRNA from 1 species
ACAUCUCCUGCCUGGUAUAAGUUCAGGUGGAGGGACAGCUCCAAUGGGUCCCAGCUCAGGAGCGUAGCUGGGCGCAGCUGACGGUUAGCAUUUGCCCUUCGUGUUGGGGUCGUUGCUCCAGGCUGCCUGUCUUCCUGUCUUAUCAAUCAAAAUAUCACUUCUGUUAUUUGUUGUUUGCCACUGCAACUGGUCAUCCCCUCCUGGAAACGACAUGCCUGCUGCCUAAGCCACCCCCGCCGCUGGCGGAGAAAUCUCUUCACACAAGCGGGAGUCGUCAGAGAGGAGGAGCCUCAAUUGAGAAAAAGCCUCCAAAAGAUUGGGCUGUAGGCAAGGCUGGAGGAGGGAGGCAAAGAACCAAGAAACCUUAGGAACUCUGGAAGACCAUGAGAGGACACGUCUGUCUCCACACCUUCCCAAGUCCAGAAUCUCUGUGGAAAGUGAAGGUAAUAGAAGCAGUCCUUCUGUACUGACAGACAGACAUCCUCAGCAUGAGGAAAAGCUACGAGACCACAGGCAAAUACGUCAAGGUUUGCUCUCUGGAGAUUUUCAGCGCAUCCUGUCCCAGAUUCUCAUUUGGUUAUUUGUCAACGACUGGUUUUCAUGUUGCCCAUGUGUGCACAAAUGCACAUGAAGGCAUGAAACACGUGAAGAAUUCUCUGCCUACAGUUGUUGGGCCAUCGCGUGUCGUAGACUCCAAGAUAGCAGAUCAAGAUGUAGAACUCUUGGCUCCUCCAGCACCAUGUCUGCCUGCAUGGUGCCAUGCUUCCUGCCAUGAUGAUUAUAGUCUCAAUCUCUGAACCUGUUGUGCAAGCUACUCUAGUUGUGUGCAGUGGUGGCUGUUCUCGGUUUGACUACAUCUGGAACUAAAACCCAAGCAGCUGGGGACACCUGUGCAUGGAUUUCCUUAAUUAAAGCACGUGAAGUGGGAAGAGCCAUCUUUAAUCUGCGUCACACCUGCUGGAGGCAGGCUACAUAAAUAAAGGACAUGGAAGAAUGA